UAGCCAUGUUGUGGACGUGAAUUUAUGAGAUCCUUAAAUCGCUCCUAAAAUUGAAAGAAGUUCUCAUCUUCUUUUUACACAAAAUGUAUUCGUUUUAUGAUAUG